rnacentral:rRNA from 1 species
UGCGUAGGGUGCGAGCGUUAAUCGGAAUUACUGGGCGUAAAGGGUGCGCAGGCGGUUUUGUAAGCCAGAUGUGAAAUCCCCGGGCUCAACCUGGGAAUGGCAUUUGGGACUGCAAGGCUAGAGUGUGGCAGAGGAGACUGGAAUUCCCGGUGUAGCAGUGAAAUGCGUAGAUAUCAGGAGGAAUACCGAUGGCGAAGGCAGGUCUCUGGGCUGACACUGACGCUCAUGCACGAAAGCGUGGGGAGCAAACAGG